UGGAGGAGGGGUGCCCUUCAUCAUCUUGUGAGCAUCUGGGCCAAGUUCAGGGCUGGUGCUCUCGUUCAGAUAGAUUUAGCUGGUGGUGCAGAGAUCCGUGAGCUUGCUUUUACAGGACUUUAAUGAUAUAUAAAAGCAGCACGAGGUGCUCCUGACUGUGGAUUAAUUUGGAGAUGACUUUCUCUGUUGAAGAGUAGCAAGACUCUCGCGAGUUCUUAAAAAUGCACUUGUUUGGUAUGAGAAUGAAAAGCAGUGGCUGAAGAACCAAUCUUCAAUGGGCAAGCCUUCUCUGUGUCUGUUCUAACACGUGCCAUUUGGGAUCCCUUGGAAUCUUCAUGUACAGAACUGGUUGCUGCCUCGUUGAGUCGGUGGGGACAGAAUAGCUCCUGGUUGACAGCAUGGGUUGUGCAGAAGGACGGAUCCUGCAGACAUCAAUAUCUGGCUUUGAGUGGCACAAAGAAAUAAAGGAAUGUGGAUUCAGACCUCACUGGGAUGCUUGGCAAUUCUAAUUCUACCCCAGACUGCAAAUGGACACACAACUGUUGUGACUUUUGUUGAAGAGGAGAAGGAUGGACUUGCCCUGAAUUCUUUCAUGUGCAAUAUCCGAAAACCCUCUCUUGGGGCCUGGAUCAGGACCCCUUUCCUAUAACAUCUUUCUGGCGACAACAAAGGGACAAUGGUGUGGAAUCCCCCUUCCCAAAUGCUACUUUUAGAUAUCACCUUUUGUCGGAACUUGGAGUUGGUAAUGACCUUCACCAUACCACCACUCUGGGACUGAGCUUCUCUCUACCCUGAUGCAAGAGACCCUAAUAGGCAGGAAUAUGACCACCCCUAUUCAGCCUGAAGAAGUUACAGAAGUUCUGAAACCCUUAGAAAUGAGGGUCUUCUUGUAAAGGGAGUGGGGAGAUAUAUCAGAGGCAUUUGAACCAGAGCAACUCCAUCUUGAGUGAGGGCUAGGAAAAUGAGGCUAGGACUUGCUGGGCUGCAUUCUCAGAAAGUCAGUCAUUCCUAGCCUCUAGAUGUUUACGGUUAAGGGAACAAAUUUAUAACAUUUACUAAACACACCCAGACUUGGGAGUGUCCAGAUAUCCCAAUAUCUGGAGAACAAAGGCAUUCCUAAUUUUGCUUUAAAGACAAUAAUAUUGAUUCUUGCAAAAUAUAGUAAUUAAGAAAAUUAAUCCUUUAUCACAAACCCUUGUAGUAAAACACAUCUCCCCAUAUAUACAAGCAUUGUACCUAAGGUGGAUGCGUUCCAUCUCUUACUUUCAGGAAUGUCCUACACUAUCUAAGGAGUAGCUGUACUUUCACCACUUUACUUUCUUAAUAAACUUGUUUUUACUUUGCA
rnacentral:lncRNA from 1 species